AGAAUCAACGCUGGCGGCGUGCCUAACACAUGCAAGUCGAACGAGAAAGUGGAGCAAUCCAUGAGUAAAGUGGCGACCGGGUGAGUAACACGUGACUAACCUACCUUUGAGUGGGGGAUAACAUCGGGAAACCGAUGCUAAUACCGCAUAACAUCGCAAGAUCAAAGCAGCAAUGCGCUUAAAGAGGGGGUCGCGGCUGAUUAGCUAGUGGCGGGUAACGCCACAAGCGAAGAUCGGUA
rnacentral:rRNA from 1 species